rnacentral:rRNA from 1 species
ACGACCACCCAGGGCCGGAAAGUUGGUCAAACUCGGUCAUUUAGAGGAAGUAAAAGUCGUAACAAGGUCUCCGUAGGUGAACCUGCGGAGGGAUCAUU